rnacentral:rRNA from 1 species
GACGAACGCUGGCGGCGUGCUUAACACAUGCAAGUCGAACGAAGUGGCGAACGGGUGAGUAACGCGUAAUCAACCUGCCCUUCAGGGGGGGACAACAGUUGGAAACGACUGCUAAUACCGCAUACUGAGGGAGGGGAUGAGGUCGGCUUAGCUGGGUGGAGGGGGAACGGCCCACGAAGGCGAUGAUCAGUAGCCGGUCUGAGAGGAUGAACGGCCACAUUGGGACUGAGACACGGCCCAGACUCCUACGGGAGGCAGCAGUGGGGAAUCUUCCGCAAUGGACGAAAGUCUGACGGAGCAACGCCGCGUGAGUGAUGACGGCCUUCGGGUUGUAAAGCUCUGUUAAUCGGGACGCGGUACCGGAAUAGAAAGCCACGGCUAACUACGUGCCAGCCGCCGCGGUAAUUC